AAAAGAUGAAAUAUAUGGGUCAAUUGAGAUACCUAUCUAAGGAAUCACAAAAACAGAGUAGGUGUGUUCGAAUAGCUAUUUUUUCUAAAAGUACUUGACGACAGUCUUUUAAUUUGGAUGAUGAAAAUGUGUGUGUGAUAACUAGGGUUUAUAAUCUUCAACCACUGAAAAUGUUUAGUCUGCCCUUCCACGAAAUAUUUAAUUAGAAUUUUUUUUAAAUGCUUAAGAAUUUUCAAAAAUUCCAUCUGACAUCCAAACAGACAAUAUUAUUAUUUUUAAGUUGAAUCAAUGCAGACAAGAUCAUUAACUAAUGCUCAUUAGCUAGUAGAUACAUUUGUAUUUUAAAAUAUAACUGACAUAUAACGAUCGAUCGUAAUGGUGCUAUGUGGAUAAAUUUAUCAGUUUUCAAGAGCAAAAUUGGCAGAGCGUCAUCCCUACAAUGGCUUCCAUUUCUACGACUGUGAGCAUGAACUGGCGUAAUGGGGAGAUAAUUUUGAAGAAGUAGAAUCCUGACUGUAUGAAUAACAUUUCUGUAUAUAUACAAAUUGACAACGUUCCGCCUUGUGAUACGCUUUUCGUACAAUACUAUUUUAAGGAUCUACUUUGCUGGAGCUCACCUUCAC
rnacentral:lncRNA from 1 species